UACCAGCAUAAGCUAGUAUGAGAAAAAUACACAAGGAAAUACUAAAUUAAAUCUAAUAGCUUGCCCUCGUUACUUGAGUCAAAUAUAUAUCCCUCAAGUUUUCCACAUUACUUACAUAGUCAAAUACAGUAUAUCUUCACUUGCGUACAUUGCAUACUAGUCAAGACAAAUUUAACCAAGAUACCAACAUCCAACUACCACUUGACAUAAACCAAUAACAAUCAUACAGCAACUGAACUCAGACAUCAUUUGUAAGUUUGUGGAAAUAAGGUAGGUUCUGGACAAGAGACCAUGCGACGGUGACUUCAAACUUACAACGGUGAACUUCAAGCAUACGCAUGCUCCUGGAGGCUUUCUUGGCUCUGAAUGCUUCUGAAUCUCUCUCAACAGUUUGAUCCUCCAAGCUACUUGCCAUGACGGAGACAUCAUUUGUAAGUUUGUGGAAAUAAGGUAGGUUCUGGACAAGAGACCAUGCGACGGUGACUUCAAACUUACAACGGUGAACUUCAAGCAUACGCAUGCUCCUGGAGGCUUUCUUGGCUCUGAAUGCUUCUGAAUCUCUCUCAACAGUUUGAUCCUCCAAGCUACUUGCCAUGACGGAGACUAUCAACUCUCCAUUAGCUUCAACAGAUACAACAUGUCAUGAAAGCUGUAUCAUGCCAUCAGCUGCAAGAGGCAACUUAUCUCCGAACGCAAGCAACUCGAUUUUCUUGGCAUCAAUACUGGCCGUGUUGGCAGAAAUUAAACCUUGAAAACCUCCUGGCCAUUCCCCACCAACAACUCUCACACUGAUGGUGGCCUCCACUGAAUUAACAAUAUCACCCAGCAUCAAUGCCACUGUGCUAAGCUUGCUGGUGCUGACACGUUUAAUCACGUAUGAUUCACUAGAACCAGAAUCAUGAUAAUAAAAAACUAGAUUACUCAAUUCUCUGUCCUCUGAUUCAGUUCUGCCCUUAACUCGCAAGUUAACCUCAAAGGACGCAGGAUCCACAACAACAACAGCGCGGGUAGGACCUGUC
rnacentral:lncRNA from 1 species